AUACUCUGUUUUCUCUUCAUAUCGUAUAAAACUUUCACCUGUUACCAAAUAUUUCUGUGGACAGCAACAACUCUGAGCCUUAAACCAAUUUUUUGAGGCCUUGUGUGUAGCAGGGCU